CGUUACAAUAAAUAAUAUAGUUAGCCUACAAUAUUAGCAGUCAGGAAAUUACAUACGGUAGCUGUGACAGUAGCAGCAGAGGUGGCUUGAGAUUUAAUCAAUUUCCCGACCUGAAUUAUUGUCCUAGUCCACUCCUGACUACAGUACACCGUAAAGGUAAAUGGAUAUUUCUACAAUGUAUCAGAGAGUGGUUACCCUAUCAGCACCAUAGACUGUAAAAUAUAUGGACGUAGCAUCCGUGACGUCACCCAUAGGUUUCUGAACACUGCAAAAGAAGCUACAAGUAGGCGCGGCCAACCGUCGCCAUUUUGUUCGUGCGUCAUCGCACCCACGGCGGGAUACCAAACAAGGGCAAAGAGGCAGAGGGUGAGCGGAGCUACAGACACCUGCUGACACUUUGCUUAGACCUGGCAGACAGACUUUACUUUGGGAGAAACUCUUAAUACUUCAUUACCUACGACUCGCUUGUGUUCUGACCACAUGUGCUUCACUGUAACAAAUUGCUGUAGUUUUUACAGCAAAAUUAUACAGGAAUUUAUUGUUUUAACAUUUCACACGUUAUUAUUGUAAUUCGCAAUGCAUUAUGGGUUAAACCAAGAGUUACAGUUGUUAACUGCAAAUUUCUAUGGGGACUGUAAAUUAAUAUACAGGUAGGAGGUGUGUCAAUGUAGAUUCUGCGUUUUUACAACAACAUGUUGUAGUGUGGAAUUAUGGGAUUUCGCGGGCUGAUGCAGAUUUGAAAUAUGGUGGACUGGACAAGCGGGAGAAAACAGGAGGCAUUAUUCGUUAAUUUCAAGGAACUUUGGUGGAAAAAUCAAGACGUGGCGAAUUAGGUUGUUGGAGGUGACUCGAAUCUGAUCGAUAAAGAUUUAUAAAGGCAUGUCCACGUUGGAUGAAGACGUACGAGAUGCUGUAUUGGCAGUCCUACCUGGGCUAUCAGAGGAGAAACUA